rnacentral:rRNA from 1 species
UACGAAGGGGGCUAGCGUUGCUCGGAAUCACUGGGCGUAAAGGGUGCGUAGGCGGGUCUUUAAGUCAGGGGGGAAAUCCUGGAGCUCAACUCCAGAACUGCCUUUGAUACUGAAGAUCUUGAGUUCGGGAGAGGUGAGUGGAACUGCGAGUGUAGAGGUGAAAUUCGUAGAUAUUCGCAAGAACACCAGUGGCGAAGGCGGCUCACUGGCCAGAUACUGACGCUGAGGCACGAAAGCGUGGGGAGCAAACAGG